UUUGUUUUCACCACCUUGUUGCAGCAUAAGUGUCUAGGAUGUGUAUGGAUAUAUGGAUGGAAUGGAUUUACACGGCUAAGAGAUGAAAGUGUAUGGAUUUGUGAGAUGUGAAAUGUAGUGUCUUUGGAUGAUGGCCUCCAAAUUAUGGUGAAGGGUGGAUGUAUUUAUAGGCUAGGGAGAGGAGUGUAUGGAGUUGUAAUGAGUGGAUGUAAUAGGUGUAGUGGGUGAGUGUUGUGGUAAUGAGUGGAUGUAAUGGGUGUAGUGGGUGGAUGUUUGGUAAUGGGAGGAUGUAAUGGGUGUAGUGGAUGGAUGUUUGGAGUUGUAGGUCAACACACUUGCACACACACAUGUUGAUUUCUAGCCUUAAAUCUUCAAAAACGUCCAUCCUCAUGUCUCCAUGCUUGCACUAUCCAAUCUUGGCUAAAAAAUGCUCCAAAAUGCUCCAAAAUGCACUUUCUUGCCAACUUUGUUAUUUUGACCUACAAACACACGAAAAUAGCUUAAAUACAUAAUUAACUAAGAAAUAACAACACAAAUGCACAAGAACAAGCUAACUAAGUCGCAUAAAUAUGUUCCUAUCAAAUUCCCCCACACUUAGCUUUUGCUAGUCCUCGAGCAAAACAAAAGAAACAAAACGAAACAAAACAAACAAAACACAACCUAACGUUCCAACAUUUGCGUCAGGGAUUUUCAAUGAAACAUGACAUGCCAAAGAUCACCACUUACAUAGAUUUAAGCAUUCCUUACCCUCAAGCAUACUUAAUCAUAGUCACCAUUCACUAGCUCACAUUUAAUCAAUUAAAACAGCAUUUUGAAUAUAGUAACAUGCCUUAGAGAAUUUCCUCAAUUCCUUACUAGAUACACUCUUAUUUUCACACAAGAAUUUCUGACUACACUCCCUAUAUUAGGUAUAUGUGAGAAGAUUGAUGUAAACAUGAAAACUAGCACUUACAUAUGUUUUUCAACAAAGAAGCAAUUUCUAGAAUUAUUAAUUCAUGUAUAUAUAUGAUCUUAUGAAUGGAAUGCUACUACUUAGUUGCGAGAACCAGUGACACCAUAUGCUCAUAUCAAUUUCAAACUCCACAAAUUGAAACACACAACACUCAAGAUUGAAGUCAAGGGUUGUAACAGGGCUUGGGGGUAAUGGCUAACAAAGAAAGGAUAGGAAUAACAAACGUUCUUAAAGCGAUAGCAAGCAAAGUAAUGGAAUCGACACUUGAAAUUUACUUUAGAAUGCAAAAAUCAACUUUUAAACACAAAGGGAAGAUUCAUGCAACACUUAGGGUCGAAUUCAAUGCUUUGGACCCUUUCUUCAACAAACAACACUUUAGAGCUCUUUCUCA
rnacentral:lncRNA from 1 species